AUAAAAGGAAAAACCUUUUAUGAUAACAUAAAUUGAACAGGCUAAUUUGCGCAAGAGAGUACAAAUUGAGUGCGCGGUUUGGCACCUCGAUGUCGGCUUAGCUCAUCCACAUGAAUGCAAAAAUCAUGAAGGGUUCGACUGUUCGUCGAUUAAAGAGCUACAUGAGCUGGGUUUAAUACGUCGUGAGACAGUAUGGUUUCUAUCUU
rnacentral:ncRNA from 1 species